AUAGGAAAGGAGAGAGAGACGCGCGAGAAACAGAGCCUCCGAUUGCCCUGGUCUCUCCCAAAUCGCCGCCACCAACCGUCUCCUCUCCCUCCUCCGCCCCACCUCGCCGCCGGCCCUUCUCCUUCCAAUCUCCCACCUCGCAACCCCGGAGGCUACCGGAUCCGCCGCACCCCCACCCACCCAUCCCUCGCGCGUCCAAUUUCUCUCUUCACGCGGCUCCUCGUCGCGCCACCGGCAGUGGCUGCUUCCGGCGACGUUCGGCCAAUCCCGCCACCGCGGAACACAUCCCGAGGUCCUCUCGCAUCGCGGCGCCCUCCCAUCCACCUAGAUCGGCGCUCGCGGCCACCAAAGCCCACCCGCGACCCUCCCCCCAUGCCUAGGGUUUCGGGCGUCGGCCCCGGCGCCGGUGGCGAUGUCGUCCUCGUCUCAUCCGACGUGCAGGGAGGAACGGCCACUGGACAGCCUUGCUGCUGCUCGGGACGAAGCAACCAUGUAGCUUUCUCCUCCUCCUCUGGCUUCGGAACUCGGAGGAGAAAUCAGAAUUGUCGUCAAAGUAACAACUAUGAAAGAGAUAAAAAGGUGCAUGGAGAAGGAUGUUAACGGAGUGACAAAGGUUGCAAAACUCAACGGAAUCAAAAUGACAACACUAGAAUAAAGAGCUCCAUGUACCAUCGAGCCUGUGUGGAUUAUUUGCAGCAGCAAGUGCCGAACGGCAGCAGCUUGCAUGUGCACGAUGGUAUGGAAGGUUAAUCAUGAUGAUUGCAUACAAAAUACGUAUGCCCCUGUUGCAACGCACGGCAAUUACCUAGUAUAUUUUUAAAAUUAGAAAUGUACAAUCUGAUGCAUCUACACGAAAAGACAUGAAGUUGACUGGAUAAGUUGCAUGCACCAACUGGAUGGAAGGGGACGCUAUGGAGCAAGUCGAGUUCGUGGAGCAAGUCAUGGAUGAUGCCAUGGAAGAUUCAAAAGAUAUAUGGAUGAUUAUAUGGGUGCGUGACAAGUAUACUGCAAUUAUGUGAUGAUGAUGUUCCGGUUCAUGAUGAUGAUGAUGUUCUGGUUCAUGAUGAUGAUGAUGGAUGCUUUCAGUUUUAGUUAAGUUGUAGGGAUGUUGUUCUUGUUGGAUGUUGUUCCUAGGUUAAGUUUUUGUUAAGUUGUAGGGAUGUUGAUGAAUGCUUUCAGUUUAAGUUUCGCUGUCAAAAAUAUAUUUAGAUUAUGCAUCACAUUUGGAUGAUGUACCCUUUUAAUAUCCACUAUUGUAAUCCAACAGUUUUAUCAAUAUAUAUGUUUUCUUUC